GAGUUUAACGGUCAGUUGUUGAGAAAAUGCCGAGUAAGAAAAGGAGAAGAGAAGAGAAGGCAAGCAUACAUCCACGAAACAAAUACUCUGAAAAUCCUCCUGAUUUCCAACAAUUAGCUUCUCUGUAUCCAUCUUUUCAACCCUUCGUUUUCUACUCCCCUCGUGAUGGAAGACCUAGAAUUGACUGGACUGAUUUCAAUGCCACCAGAGAACUAACUAGGGUUUUACUUUUCCACGAUCACGGUGUUCAUUGGUGGAUACCUGAUGGGCAGCUCUGUCCUACAAUACCAAAUAGGUCAAAUUACAUUCACUGGAUUGAAGAUUUACUCUCCUCUGAUGUUAUUGCAAAGACUAAUGUUAGUGGAGAUAAUAAAGUGAGGGGUUUUGAUAUUGGAACUGGAGCCAAUUGCAUAUACCCUCUUCUUGGUGCAUCCCUUUUGGGUUGGAAUUUCGUUGGAUCAGAUGUGACUGAUGUUGCUUUAGAAUGGGCAGAAUACAAUGUUAAGAGCAAUCCACAUCUUUCCGAGUUGAUUGAAAUCAGGAGGGCUGGAAGUGCUGGGAAGAAGAACACCCCGCAUGAAGCUGCUGAUGCCAAUGGUCAGUUGGCUACUGAAACCGAACGAUGUUCAGAACAAGUUAUUGGAGACGAGAUAGAGUCAGUGGCUAAGGCAUCAGAUCUUGUUUCUGACUCACAAGAAGCUGCUGCCGCUGCCAAUGGUCAGCUGGCUUCUGAAACUGAACGAUGUUCAGAACAAGUGAUUGGAGAUGAGACAGAGUCAGUGGAUAAGGUAUCUGAUGUUGUAUCUGACUCACAAGAAGCUACUGCAGCCAAUGGCCAGUUGGCUACUGAAAGGGAACGAUGUUCAGAAGAGAUUAUAAGGGAGGCAGAGCUGGAGGUUAAGGUGCCUGAUGUUGUUUCUGAGUUGCAGGAGAAGUCUUCUGAUGAGCCACGCGUACUUCUUGGCGUUGUCAAGGAUGGUGAACGUUUUGACUUUUGUAUGUGCAAUCCUCCGUUUUUUGAGAGCAUGGAGGAAGCAGGACUAAACCCAAAAACCGCAUGCGGUGGGACACCGGCAGAGAUGGUUUGCCCUGGUGGAGAAUUGGCUUUUAUUUCUCGUAUUAUUGAAGAUAGUGCUGUGCUGAAGCAGUCUUUUCGGUGGUACACUUCAAUGGUUGGGAGGAAAAUAAAUCUCAAGUUGCUAACAUCUAAGCUUAGAGAGGUGGGAGUAUCUGUAGUUAAGACUACCGAGUUUGUCCAAGGACAUAUGUGCAGAUGGGGGCUUGCAUGGUCUUUCAUUCCUCCGGCUACAAUUACAGCUUCUCAUAGAACACCAAAAACCAGUAUGUCGUUCAUGCUUGAGGGUAUUCAGCGCCAGAUUAGUGCGAUGCACAUUCUGCAAUCUGUGGAGUCCUUUUUUGCCGCGGCUGGAGCAUCUUGCAAAUCUAAUUGCUCAUCAUUUGUCGUUGAUGUCACUGUAUCAAAUGAGCGUUGUGAUGCAAUUGUGAAUAAUGAAUCAGUCAAUUCUUAUGAAACUAGCAAUUCUCAACCAAGGCAGCCAACUUGCGAUGAUGCAGUUCCAUCAAAAGAGAUUUCUUUCCGCAUCUCGGUUUUCCAGCAAAUUCCCGGGACACUUUUAGUGAAAGCCUCCUUACAAAAUAAAGGAGGCCCACUUUCUGGCGCAUUAUCUGUGCUGUUUCAGCAGCUGGAAUUAUCCCUUAAGAAGGAUUAUUGUAGAAAUACCUAAACAUGUCCAAGGUGCAAGCUAGGAAGAUAUGCCUACUUUCAACUCUGUAUGACCUGAGUGAACCCGGAUCUGUGGAACCAUUGGCCCAACUUGUGAGUUUGGAACCAAUAGUGUAUGCGUCAAUGCUUGGGUUCCUGAUCAGAUAUCUCCCUACCCAGAACCGGAACUGAUUAUAGAGUCCGUAUCAGGUUCUUAUCGGGAUCCAGAACCGAAUGUAUCGAUUCCAUUUUGCUCAGGUUUCGGUUCUAGCGAAAAUUCGUUGACGUCAGCAACAUUGGAUGUCAUUUUUCGCAUUGAAUAUUAUACAUCCCAUUGUCAAUUUGAAUUAAAAAUAGAAACUCAUCCUCCAACUUUUAGUAGUACAAGGUCUCUAGAUUUGCAAAAUAUGGUAAUGCACUGCACAUAUUUUGUUAAGACAAAAUCUUUCUAUAAUCCCGCAAAUCUCUUUGGUUACUUA